rnacentral:rRNA from 1 species
CCUACGGGAGGCAGCAGUGAGGAAUAUUGGUCAAUGGGCGGAAGCCUGAACCAGCCAAGUAGCGUGAAGGAUGACUGCCCUACGGGUUGUAAACUUCUUUUAUAAAGGAAUAAAGUGAGGCACGUGUGCCUUUUUGUAUGUACUUUAUGAAUAAGGAUCGGCUAACUCCGUGCCAGCAGCCGCGGUAAUACGGAGGAUCCGAGCGUUAUCCGGAUUUAUUGGGUUUAAAGGGAGCGUAGAUGGGAUGUUAAGUCAGUUGUGAAAGUGUGCGGCUCAACCGUAGAAUUGCAGUUGAUACUGGCAGCCUUGAGUACAGGGGAGGUAGGCGGAAUUCGGGGUGUAGCGGUGAAAUGCUUAGAUAUGACGAAGAACUCCGAUUGCGAAGGCAGCUUACUGAAGGGGCACUGACGCUGAUGCUCGAAAGUGUGGGUAUCGAACAGGAUUAGAUACCCUAGUAGUC